UAAUUUUCAGCAUACAUGCAGGACAAUGGAUCAAGUGUCAACAAGAUACCAACAAAUAAUAUAGAUGCCCAAGAAGAUAUCAACAUCAGUGAGGCAAAAGAAAAGAAUGGGGAGCAAGAGCUUAAGUUAAAGAAAAUGAAGAAAAAACGAAGACUGUCUGAAGUUCAACUAUUAAAGUUCACAUUCAGGAAAAUCAAAAUAGGAAGAUCAGGGAAGCGAAAGACAAGAAUGUAGAGCAAGAGGAUAAGUCCUUGAAAAAAAUGAAGAAACACCGACUUUCUCAAGAUACAACUGUGACAGCACAUCAGUGUCUACUUACUGCUGAA